CCUACGGGAGGCAGCAGUGAGGAAUAUUGGUCAAUGGACGAGAGUCUGAACCAGCCAAGUAGCGUGAAGGAUGACUGCCCUAUGGGUUGUAAACUUCUUUUAUAUGGGAAUAAAAUGUUCCACGUGUGGGAUUUUGUAUGUACCAUAUGAAUAAGGAUCGGCUAACUCCGUGCCAGCAGCCGCGGUAAUACGGAGGAUCCGAGCGUUAUCCGGAUUUAUUGGGUUUAAAGGGAGCGUAGGUGGAUUGUUAAGUCAGUUGUGAAAGUUUGCGGCUCAACCGUAAAAUUGCAGUUGAAACUGGCAGUCUUGAGUACAGUAGAGGUAGGCGGAAUUCGUGGUGUAGCGGUGAAAUGCUUAGAUAUCACGAAGAACCCCGAUUGCGAAGGCAGCUUACUAAACUGUGACUGACAUUGAUGCUCGAAAGUGUGGGUAGCAAACAGGAUUAGAUACCCGGGUAGUC
rnacentral:rRNA from 1 species